rnacentral:misc_RNA from 1 species
UCACGUUCCAAACGUUUAUCAACCAACGCGAACCCUUCGGGUUGCUUUCGGCUGAACGCUUUCUUUAUUGAGAGUGCGACGCUGACUGAAACCUGUUUCCAUUUCAUUAUGGAAACACAUUUUGAUUAACAAUCAAAAACCCCUUUAUACUUAAUUGUACUGAACUGUUUCAUUCUCGCACUUUUUGUGCGAGAUGUAAACAAUAAAUUACGAAACUAUGAA